GUGAAGCGGGCAGACAGUAGCGGGUGGAGAGCUGAGGAAUGGAGUGGUGGUUCUACCUACCCAUACUUGGAGUGGGAUAUGGUGAAUGUUCCUACUUUUACGUGGACUGGGGGGCGGAGCGGUGGUGGCGCGGGUCGUGUGUGGCGGUACUGAUUGAUGGAGUGGUGGCAGUGUUUGCUGCACGUUUGUUCUUGGUAGUGUGUUAAAUGUGAGUGGGCAGACACCGAGGAAGACUGGAGGUGACAGAAUUGGGGGGCCUGUCCGUGAGAUCUUCUUCCAUGUGUGAUUUGUGAUCAGUGACUCCAUGUAAAUAAGUGCGAUACGUCUCGCCAUACACUCCAUUCCACCCGCAAGACUCGCUGCCCUGCGUGGUCCUGUACUCCUGUGACCACUGUUCAUGGACAUGCGCUUCUGUACUCUACCAAGAUAGUGCUUAUAAUGAUGGUGAUUUGUCAAGAUGGCGGACCAUGUGGAACAGUUCAUUAACUCUUUGAAUGUCCAUUAUUUGUAUUAGUGUAGUAGAGAAGAGCUUGGUGUGCUACCAGGUUGACUUGGUGUUAAGUUGACUGCUAGGCUCAGCGAGGACGUGCAGAAAGAGUUGGUUACGAUGUUGACAAAGGUCUGUUGUGUGUGGAGGAACAGCACGGUGUUAAGUUUACUGCUAGGCUCAGCGAGGACGUGCAGAAAGUUAGAUACGAUGUUGACAAACGUCCGUUGUGUGUGGAGGAACAGCACGUCCAUGAAAGUAUGAAAGUGAACAAAGUGAAGUGGGAACAAGUAGUGGAGGAGUGCGGUGGGAAAUGUCCGGCAGUGAAAGGUACAUAUUGGAAAGGAUGAAAAGAGGUUGGAACUAAAGAAGGCAGAAGUGGAGAUGAAAAGGUCAGAGAAGGGAGACGGUGAUUUGAGAGGUGAUUCGGAGGAUAAAAAAAAAACUUCAUUUGUCCCGGAUUUUGUUGAAAGUGAGGCAGCCUCAGAGGACUUUCUCUGAGGCAGAGGACUUUCUCUAAUUCGAGAAGGUAGCAGAGUUGAGAGGUUGGCCAGUGGAAGAGUGGGCACUCUUAGUACAGAUAAAAUUGAAGGAAAACCCAGGGAAAUUUAUAAUAGUAUAUGUUGAUGAGUAUAGGGACUGUGCCGCUGUUAAGGAAGCAGUGUUGUCAAAUGUACGCUUGGCUCCUGAGGUAUAUAGAUUAAAGUUUAGGGCAUUAGAGAAAAUCCAUAAUUGCACAUACAUGGAAAUAGCUAGAGAAUGUACCCUAAAGUUGGAUAAGUGGCUCAAAGCUGAGUAUGUUAAAAAUGUGGAGGACAUGAAAGAGGUGAUUUUGUUAGAGCAUUUUCGGAACCAAUUUAGGAACCGAAUACAUCCUAACAUGAAGUAUAAAAGCUGAUAGAAAGACUGUAAUGGAAGUAGGACGUAAAACUGAUCAGCUUGAAACAGCAUAUUGGGUAUGUAGGAGGGAUGUAGGAAUCAGGGUAAAUUCCUGAAGUCGGAACUGUUUCAAGGGAAGGUUUAAUAGUGCACAUGUGGCAAUGCAGCCAAAUGUAAAUGCUCAGUUUGUAAAUAGUAACUGUUUUGCAAAUUCAAGCAGUAUACAGGGCAAGUAUUGCGUCCUUCUUCCAAGCUGAGUAUCAGUGUUGAGGACAGAAUGUAUAAUGAUUUGGAAGGUAAACCAUCAAUUUGGUGCUUCAGCUGUGGGCAUCCUGGUCACUUUGAGUAGGGAUUGUCAACAAUCAAGUAAGGAAGCAAAAUGUUCUUAUUGUGGUAGUUUAGGCCAUAAGGAUUUCAUUGUAAGAACAGUAGUUUGGCAGGUAAGCCAAAGUGGCAUUGAGUGUAAUGAAGGAACUAUGUUGUAGUGGAGGAAUGUACUGCUGCUGUGGAAUUUGAACCAUUUAUUAUUAGAGGAAUGAUAAAAUUAGACAGUGGUUCAGGGAAGGAAAUGGCUCUUAAGAGAUACAGCUGCAAAUGUGGACCUAGUGCUUCGAGAUGUAUUGGAAUGGAUAGAGCUCUCACGGUGAACAAAUAGAGGUGAGAGGCAUUAA